GGUGGCGAGUGGCGGACGGGUGAGGAAUACAUCGGAAUCUACCUUUUCGUGGGGGAUAACGUAGGGAAACUUACGCUAAUACCGCAUACGACCUACGGGUGAAAGUGGGGGACCGCAAGGCCUCACGCGAUUAGAUGAGCCGAUGUCCGAUUAGCUAGUUGGCGGGGUAAUGGCCCACCAAGGCGACGAUCGGUAGCUGGUCUGAGAGGAUGAUCAGCCACACUGGAACUGAGACACGGUCCAGACUCCUACGGGAGGCAGCAGUGGGGAAUAUUGGACAAUGGGCGCAAGCCUGAUCCAGCCAUACCGCGUGGGUGAAGAAGGCCUUCGGGUUGUAAAGCCCUUUUGUUGGGAAAGAAAUCCUAUCGGUUAAUAACCGGUGGGGAUGACGGUACCCAAAGAAUAAGCACCGGCUAACUUCGUGCCAGCAGCCGCGGUAAUACGAAGGGUGCAAGCGUUACUCGGAAUUACUGGGCGUAAAGCGUGCGUAGGUGGUGGUUUAAGUCUGCUGUGAAAGCCCUGGGCUCAACCUGGGAAUUGCAGUGGAUACUGGAUCACUAGAGUGUGGUAGAGGGAUGCGGAAUUUCUGGUGUAGCAGUGAAAUGCGUAGAGAUCAGAAGGAACAUCCGUGGCGAAGGCGGCAUCCUGGGCCAAC
rnacentral:rRNA from 1 species